rnacentral:rRNA from 1 species
CCCGCCGGCGACCGGCGCACGGGUGAGUAACACGUAUGCAACCUGGCCGCCACAGGGGGAUAACCCGCGGAAACGCGGCCUAAUACCCCGUGACGCCACCGGAGGGCAUCCGUCCGGGUGGCCCAAAGGAGCGAUCCGGUGGCGGAUGGGCAUGCGGCGCAUUAGCUAGACGGCGGGGUGACGGCCCACCGUGGCGACGAUGCGUAGGGGUUCUGAGAGGAAGGCCCCCCACACUGGGACUGAGACACGGCCCAGACUCCUACGGAAGGCAGCAG